GGGGUUGAAACUCUCCUAUAUACUACUAGUCAUUAAAACGACUUUUUAGAAAAAUGUGACCGUACGAAAUUCUGACGACAGGGCAAAAACUAAAGAAGACAUAUUUGUCUUUAAGUUAAGACCAUUUUUAGCCGUGUGUUAUUUGGGGAGAUUAAACUCGCGAUCUAGACGACUUUUUACACUUCUGUCACCGCACUAUUAA
rnacentral:lncRNA from 1 species